rnacentral:lncRNA from 1 species
GCAGAGGCCGACACCACGGGGCGGCUGGUAUGUGUCCACCGGCCCCUAGGCGCCUCGAGCCCCGCCCCUGGGAGACGCAGGCUCCUCCCCGCGGAGCGAGAGCCCGCGGAGCUGCUCCGAGACCCGCGGGAGGGCACCUCCGGUCACCCGAGCCGCAAAUCCCCGCCGUCCGAAGGGGGUGUCGCCCCGGGCUGUCGGCCCAGCGUGGCUUAGGCCAGGUACAACCGGCAGCGCCCGCCAAGCCCUGGGCUAGGGACGCCUGCGGGAGUUCACGGGGAGGCGCCGGUGUCUGAGGUCUGAGAAGACAGCGGCCACCGGAAAAGGUGCUAAUGUUUGCAGACCCCGAUCCAUCGACACCCCAAGGAAAUGCUGUGCACAAAAUUCCAAGAGGGCCUUUUCGAAUAGACGCAUGAACGGUGUUUGUGUCUGGAUCGUCCAGCCUCCCGGGAUCGAUUGGGAAUCUAGCUUCUGCUUGCCUUUCCAGCGCGACGCACAGUAGGAGCCUAAUAAAUGUUUGCUGAAUGAAUGCUGAAUAUCGAACUCAGUUCCGAGGCAGCAGGAAGAGAUGCGGCCCCUGGAUGUCGCCGAGCUGUCAGAACCGGAGGAAGUGGAGGUGCUGGAGCUGGAGGGGGGUUUUGAGCAGUUUCUGCUCCCGGUCAUCCAUGAGAUGCCAGAGGACAUCGCGUCGCUGACAAGCACUGGCGGGCGUACCUGUGGAAGCGGAGCACGCUGUGGGAGAUGGACAAUAUGCUCUUCCAGAUCAAAACCCAGGUGGAGGCUUCGGAGGAGCAUCCUCAACCGCCUCCACAACCCGGGCGACGCAGUGGAGGGCAGGGUGACCAAGAGGUGCCAGAAGGCCGAGGAGAAGGCCAAGGAAAUGGUGAAGAUGGCAGAGAUGCUGGUGGAGCUGGCCCAGAGGAUAGAGACGAACGAGUCGAGAGCACGGUCGGUGGUUUACAGCCAAUGGAUUCUGGUAAACUGGUGGAGAUUGGCUGACACCCAGAAGAAGCUGAAACCAGAGAGCCUUUGGUUUUCUCUAUUUUACUCUGUCCACGCUCUGUCCUCACUCACACUCAGUUCUCUGCUAUGGUCUGUGGUUGAUGAACUCAAUAUGAGUUUUGAUUGUUUGUGUUUUUGUCUGGGGAAGUAAGUUUAUUUGGAAAAUGCUCUCUCAUACAGGAAUGAGGGCCUAGACCACGCUCUUGCAGCAGUCACAUUUGUUCCUGGGCUUUGGUUGUUAUUUCUAAAUGUUUGAGGUGCUUUGCUCUUUCUUGUGUGAUCUGAUAGCUCCCUGGAACUUUGGAUCUGUGUGUGACACAUGAGCCUCAUUGUUGGAGUUCUCCAGCUCUGGAGGGGCUGAAGGAGCCGCAAUGAUUCUAGAAGAUGACUCCAUACAGCAACUACUGAAGAAAGGACCAGACUUCAGCUGGGAAUGUGGAUGGGCCGACCUGGCUGGGACCCAUGAAUCUGGAGAAGAGCUGGAGAAUGGAGAGUAUUAUCUGUAUUUGAGGACUUUAAUUUCUGUGUAAGACCAAAGGAGGAGAGACACAUUUUGUUCAAAAUUUAAAUUUUAUGUGGUACACUAUCUGAUAUAACCUGUCUAGUGAGUUUGUUUGGACAACCUAAUUCAGCUUUAUCUGACAUGGAACCUGAACUAGAGGAUGAGAUCUUGAUAUUCUGUACAAGUUGAUGUAAUACCCUGAUGCAUUUCGGGGACUCGGCAUAAAAUGAAAGAGAUUUGCAAAGACUCUUGAGGGGCUGGGGGAUGAGAGUGUGGAACUGUACAUUGGACCCUAAACUGGAGUGGAAGAGGCAUCUUCAAUGUUCAUACAUUGUCCAGCUAUAAGUUCAUUUAAGUAGCAGACCUGAUAAAUAUUUGAGGUCAAAACCCUACCAUGUUUUUUUUAAAACUUACCAUGUUAAUCAAAGUAUUCAUUUGCUUGAAAAGAAAAAAAAGUUGGGUAAAGAAUCUAAAUGGACAUUUCUCAAAAGACUAUAUACAAUGUGCCAUGAGGACAUGAAAAAAUGGUCAACAUCACUAGUCAUUAGUGAUGCAGAUCACUAGAAAAUGCAAAUCAAAACUAGAAUGAGGCUGGGCACAGUGGCUCAUGCCUGUAAUCCGAGCACUUUGGGAGGCUGAGGCAGGUGGAUCACCUUAGGUCAGGAGUUCAACACCAGCCUGGCCAACAUGGUGAAACCCCGUGUCUCCCAAAAAUACAAAAAUUAGCCGGACGUGGUGGUGGGUGCCUGUAAUCCUAGCUAUUCAGGAGGCUGAAGCAGGAGAAUCACUUGAACCCGGGAGGCAGAGGUUGCAGUGAGCUGAGAUUGUGCCACUGCACUCCAGCCUGGGCGACAGAGUGAGGCUCUGUCUCAAAAAAGAAAAAAAAAAACUUGAAUAAGAUAAAAUUCACACGUGUUAGGAUGACUAUAAUAAAAUUAAAAUGGAAAAUAACAAGUGUCUGUUUGGAGAGGAUGUGGAGAAAUCAGAACCCUCAUACAUUGCUAGUAAGAUGUUCAAUGGUUAUAGCCAUUUGGGAAAACAGUCUGGCAGUUCCUCCAAAGGUUAAACAUAGAGUAACCAUGUGACCUAGCAAUUUCACUCCUAGCUAUACAGCCAAGAGAACUGAAAGCAUAUGCCCACACCAGAUCAUGUGCACGAAUGUUCAUAGCAGAUUUAUUCAUAAUAGCCAAAAAGCAGAAACAACUCAAAUGUCCAUCAAUAGAUGAAUAAACAAAAUGUGGCAUAUCCAGGCAACGGAACAUUAUUCAGCCCCCAAAAGCAAUGAAACACUGGUCCAUGCUGCAGUGUUGGUGAACCUUGGAAACAUUAUGCCAAGCCAAAGAAGCCAGAUACAAAAGGCCACAAAAUUAUAUGAGUCCAUUUCUAUGACAGAUUGGAACAGGCAAAUCCAUAGAAAGGAAGACGAAUGGUUGCCAGGACUUAGGGGGAGAGGAGAAUGAGGAGUUAGUGCUUAGUUGAUACAGGGUUCCUGGUGGGGAUGAUGAAAACGUUCUGGAAUGAGAUCGUGGUGAUGGUGACAUAACUCUAUGAAUAUUUUUUAAAGUAUUGCAUUGUACACUUUAAAAUUUUUUUUGUAAAGGCAGUUUGCCAGGUCUCGAACUCCUGGACUCAAGUGACCCACCCAUCAUGGCCUCUCAAAGUGCUGGGAUUACAGGCAUGAGGCACCAUGCCUGGCAUGUAUACUUUAAAUGGGGAAACUGGGUGAAGGGUACAUGGGACCUCCCUGCACUGUCUUUAGAACUUCCUGUGAAUCUAUCACAACUCAAAAUAAAGACAAACCAACAAAAGAAGGUGUCAGGUGGACUGGGCUCAUUCAGGUGUUGGCAGAAUUCAGUUCCUUGGAGCUAUAGGCCCUAGUUUCACCUUCCCGCCAUCAAUGAUGCCAAGA